UACGAAGGGUGCGAGCGUUAAUCGGAAUUACUGGGCGUAAAGCGUGCGUAGGCGGUUUGUUAAGUCUGUUGUGAAAUCCCCGGGCUCAACCUGGGAAUGGCAAUGGAUACUGGCAAGCUAGAGUGUGAUAGAGGAUGGUGGAAUUCCCGGUGUAGCGGUGAAAUGCGUAGAGAUCGGGAGGAACAUCAGUGGCGAAGGCGGCCAUCUGGAUCAACACUGACGCUGAGGCACGAAAGCGUGGGGAGCAAACAGG
rnacentral:rRNA from 1 species